rnacentral:rRNA from 1 species
UGGGGAAUAUUGCACAAUGGGCGAAAGCCUGAUGCAGCAACGCCGCGUGAGUGAUGAAGGCCUUCGGGUUGUAAAGCUCUGUCUUCUGGGACGAUAAUGACGGUACCAGAGGAGGAAGCCACGGCUAACUACGUGCCAGCAGCCGCGGUAAUACGUAGGUGGCAAGCGUUGUCCGGAUUUACUGGGCGUAAAGGAUGCGUAGGCGGAUACUUAAGUCAGAUGUGAAAAUCCCGGGCUUAACUUUGGAACUGCAUUUGAAACUGGGGAUUUAGAGUGCUGGUGAGGAAAGUGGAAUUCCUAGUGUAGCGGUGAAAUGCGUAGAGAUGAGGAAGAUCACCAGUGGCGAAGGCGACUUUCUGGACCGUAACUGACGCUGAGGCAU